UGGAGGCUUGAGAAAGUUUUGCAGUUGAGUUAGUACUGCCACAACUGGUUUUGUCCUCCAAGACUAAACCCAGAAUGCAGCCUCUCUUGUCUGAAUGUCUCUUUCAGACUGUAAGCUGUGUACAUGGA